rnacentral:miRNA from 1 species
AGUGGAUUUGUUGCAUAUUAUAC